rnacentral:rRNA from 1 species
AUUGAACGCUGGCGGCAGGCCUAACACAUGCAAGUCGAACGAGCGGCGGAAGGGUGAGGAAUGUCAGGGAAACUGCCCGAUGGAGGGGGAGAACCACUGGAAACGGUAGCUAAUACCGCAUACCAUCGGAUGUGCCAAGAUGGGAUUAGCUAGUGGGCGGGGUAACGGCUCACCAAGGCGACGAUCCCUAGCUGGUCUGAGAGGUUGACCAGCCACACGUGAACUGAGACACGGUCCAGACUCCUACGGGAGGCAGCAGUGGGGAAUAUUGCACAAUGGGCGCAAGCCUGAUGCAGCCAUGCCGCGUGUAUGAAGAAGGCCUUCGGGUUGUAAGGUACUUUCAGCGAGGAGGCGUUACUCGCAGAAGAAGCACCGGCUAACUCCGUGCCAGCAGCCGCGGUAAUUC